rnacentral:lncRNA from 1 species
CAAGAUCUCUCUAUAUAUUACACAGAUCGGUCCUCUUGUCACUUCGCUUCCUAGGGUUUCUCUCUUACAGGGUUUUCCCUGGUGAGUAAUUAUUUCGCCCCGGAUUUCUCUUCCUUCGUUUUUAUUUUCUUAUCCUUAAUCGCGUUUAACCUAUUGUAUUUGAUUUAUUGUACGGGAAAUUUAUCGGGGGAUUUCUCAGUGAUGAACAAAACGAUGACGAGUCCGAUCUCUAAAUCUAAUCCAUUCUCCUUGACGACAAAUCGAGGCAUUUGUCUGAGAGAAAUCCCCCCCUCUUUUUUUGUUAUUUUGAUUAUUGUAUGUCGAUAUUUGAAUGGGGGAAAUGGGGCGAUGAUGAAGAAAAUGAUCUUUUAUUUUAUGAGGCGUUUCUCUGAUUAUGUUUCAAGCACUUUUGAGCCGAUUUCCUCAAUUCUUAGGGUUUAUCUGUUUUAGGGUUUUCAGAUUCGUUUUCUUCGCCUUUUCAGUUUGUAAUUGUAAUGGCGAGAAUGAUGAGUCGAUUAGAUGUGCGAAAGGAAAAGUUCCAUUAUGAGCUCAAACUUUCGAGGCUUAUUGAUAUUCUGACUCGCUUAAAAAAAAUAUUUACUUUGUAAAUUAAUAUUUAAACAUUGAUAUUCUGACCAAUUCAGUAGUCCAUGACAGAGGGCGACGAUGGAUGCAUAUUUCGUCGUCCCCGUCUCUGGUCUCUAAAGCUUGCCGUACCUGCCGUGCAUCUAAUUCCAAAAUCCCCGGGCCCCGAACGUUAUGGACAACGCAGCCAAGUAGCUUUGCAAGGAAAGGUGGCUGGCAACUAGGAUGUCUUCCUGACCAAGGCAUUUUUUGGCCGAGUUGCGAAUUGUUGACCCAAACCCGGAUACAGGCGGAUGGUGGAGCACGGUAGUGUCAGUAUUACAUUUUCAUACCUCUGGUUCUGGGGGGCGCCAAAAAAUGGCAGGCUGAUUGUCAUGUCUCCACUCAGCAAGGAACUUCCGCAACAGAUAGACGGUGAUACAGUCCACAAACACAUUCCCAAACAAGAUCAUUACGCCGCAUGCAGCGCAGGAGCUCAGCCACCAUCUAUUUAGUCUCAGAUUAAAAAUUGAACUUAUAAAAUAGGAUCCCGAAAUUACAAUGGUGGUUGAACAAUUUAAAUAUGAAUCACAAUUAUCAUCUUGAAAACCAGUUAAAAAUUCAUCGUGAAUUUGAACUAUGGCCUGCAAUGGAGUUUCUUGGCAAUGUAACGUCUACUUAUAAAUGCCUGAAGGGGCAGGUGGGUUGAUGAUUAAAACUAACAUAUUAACGCACCUUCAAUAUAUUUAACUAUUCUUAUAAUAUCAAUAAUUUAUAAUUUUUAUAAUUAUUAUAUUUAUAGUAUGAUAAAAAAAUAUUUAUUUUAACUUAUGGUUGGUAAUAUUGUUAAAUACGUAGUCGUUUUUUUUUUAUCAUACUAUUAAUUUUUAUAAAAUAUAGAAGUUCAAAAUUUUAUGAUGAAUAAAUUGAAGCCC